rnacentral:tRNA from 1 species
CUCCGAAUGGUGUAGUUGGUUCAUCACGUUCGACUGUAAUGGUAAUCCAAGAUAAUCGAAAGGUCCCUAGUUCGAUUCUGGGUUCGGAGA